GAAUGCUGACAUAAGUAACGAUAAAGCGGGUGAAAAGCCCGCUCGCCGGAAGACCAAGGGUUCCUGUCCAACGUUAAUCGGGGCAGGGUGAGUCGACCCCUAAGGCGAGGCCGAAAGGCGUAGUCGAUGGGAAACGGGUUAAUAUUCCCGUACUUGGUGUUACUGCGAAGGGGGGACGGAGAAGGCUAUGUUGGCCGGGCGACGGUUGUCCCGGUUUAAGCGUGCAGGUGUGUGUUCCAGGUAAAUCCGGUUCACUUUAACACUGAGGCGUGAUGACGAGGCACUACGGUGCUGAAGCAACAAAUGCCCUGCUUCCAGGAAAAGCCUCUAAGCCUCAGGUAACAUCAAAUCGUACCCCAAACCGACACAGGUGGUCAGGUAGAGAAUACCAAGGCGCUUGAGAGAACUCGGGUGAAGGAACUAGGCAAAAUGGUGCCGUAACUUCGGGAGAAGGCACGCUGACACGUAGGUGAAGUGGUUUACCCAUGGAGCUGAAGUCAGUCGAAGAUACCAGCUGGCUGCAACUGUUUAUUAAAAACACAGCACUGUGCAAACACGAAAGUGGACGUAUACGGUGUGACGCCUGCCCGGUGCCGGAAGGUUAAUUGAUGGGGUCAGCGCAAGCGAAGCUCCUGAUCGAAGCCCCGGUAAACGGCGGCCGUAACUAUAACGGUCCUAAGGUAGCGAAAUUCCUUGUCGGGUAAGUUCCGACCUGCACGAAUGGCGUAAUGAUGGCCAGGCUGUCUCCACCCGGGACUCAGUGAAAUUGAACUCGCUGUGAAGAUGCAGUGUACCCGCGGCAAGACGGAAAGACCCCGUGAACCUUUACUAUAGCUUGACACUGAACACUGGUCCUUGAUGUGCAGGAUAGGUGGGAGGCUUUGAAGUGUGGACGCCAGUCUGCAUGGAGCCAUCCUUGAAAUACCACCCUUUAAUGGCUGGUGUUCUAACGUGGGCCCGUGAACCGGGUUGCGGACAGUGUCUGGUGGGUAGUUUGACUGGGGCGGUCUCCUCCUAAAGAGUAACGGAGGAGCACGAAGGUUGGCUAAUCCUGGUCGGACAUCAGGAGGUUAGUGCAAUGGCAUAAGCCAGCUUGACUGCGAGCGUGACGGCGCGAGCAGGUGCGAAAGCAGGUCAUAGUGAUCCGGUGGUUCUGAAUGGAAGGGCCAUCGCUCAACGGAUAAAAGGUACUCCGGGGAUAACAGGCUGAUACCGCCCAAGAGUUCAUAUCGACGGCGGUGUUUGGCACCUCGAUGUCGGCUCAUCACAUCCUGGGGCUGAAGUAGGUCCCAAGGGUAUGGCUGUUCGCCAUUUAAAGUGGUACGCGAGCUGGGUUUAGAACGUCGUGAGACAGUUCGGUCCCUAUCUGCCGUGGGCGCUGGAAGAUUGAGGGGGGCUGCUCCUAGUACGAGAGGACCGGAGUGGACGCAUCACUGGUGUUCGGGUUGUCAUGCCAAUGGCACUGCCCGGUAGCUACAUGCGGAAGAGAUAAGUGCUGAAAGCAUCUAAGCACGAAACUUGCCCCGAGAUGAAUCUUCCCUGAGCCUUUAAGGCUCCUGAAGGAACGUUGAAGACGACGACGUUGAUAGGCCGGGUGUGUAAGCGCAGCGAUGCGUUGAGCUAACCGGUACUAAUGAACCGUGAGGCUUAACCUU
rnacentral:rRNA from 1 species